GAUCCUGGCUCAGGGUGAACGCUGGCGGCGUGCUUAACACAUGCAAGUCGAACGAAGCAUUUAGAACAGAUUACUUCGGUUUGAAGUUCUUUAUGACUGAGUGGCGGACGGGUGAGUAACGCGUGGGUAACCUGCCUUGUACUGGGGGAUAGCAGCUGGAAACGGCUGGUAAUACCGCAUAAGCGCACAAUGUUGCAUGACAUGGUGUGAAAAACUCCGGUGGUAUAAGAUGGACCCGCGU
rnacentral:rRNA from 1 species